rnacentral:lncRNA from 1 species
CUUCAGUUCAGAGUAGUUGUUUAAAGAAACCAAACAACAACCCCAUUAAAAAAUGCCAACUAUACAAAUUAAGUAACAGACUGAUUGCGGGCUUAAGAAUUCUCGGAGGUCAAAAUUGAUAAAACAGAAUUUAGCUCAAAUUACUAUUUUAGAAUAGAUAUGUGACACAAGAACUCCAUAGGCUGACCCAUGUCUGUGACCCUGCGUACACCUCUAUCACACUUUGUGUGAUCCCACAGCUCAUCAACAAAUUACCAACUAAGUGUGCUUCUGACAUUAUUUAUUUGAGCAUUUAUUGAUUUUGCAUUUAAUCCCUUGUUGGGAGACCCAUCUGCUUCCGACAUUGCAUGCGGGUAUAGUCACUCUAGCUACAGUUAUGAGCUAGAAACCAUCAAUUGACCCAAGUAACAAUCCAAUUCACAGAUGAACUCUGAAAUACCAAUCCAUUUUAUUAAGAUUUGCAUGCUACACCUCUGAGAAUUUCAGCCAAAAAAAGUUAAAAUAUUAGUCACAAUGUAUGAAUAGUAAGAUACUUGAUAGACUGUCAUCUAUCUGUUUGCCUAGAAACGAACAAACAAACAUCACUCCAGAUCAGAGUAGCAAGCCAAACAUAAUAUAGAUUAUAAGCAGACGGAAAUUAUAUAAAUAAGUUAGAGUGCCUAUAGAUGUAUAGCUCUAGAACACCAGCUAGCAUUAGAGCAAGGUAACUAUCAUGUGGUAAUCAACGCAUACAUGCAACAGUGAUACUGUUUUGGCAGACCUAUGUGUACAACUUGUACCUCAAAGUUGUUCCUACACUACUGUAAGACUCAUCAUUUGUAACUUUGUUGCUGAAGUACCAAUGACGCAAACUCUUUGCUCAAGUCAUCAAAAUCAUUAGUGGUAAAAAUAUAAUAAACAUGUACUUAUACAUAUCAGACAAACAAAUAAAGCACCUGGCUUGUUUUCCUCAUAAAAAAUAUCAUCCAUGCCCUGCAACAAUCUCACAUUCUGCAGCACUUGAAUAAAUUCAGCAUCACACAGGAUUCCUUAUAAAAUUUGGAUCCACAAUAGGCAGAAAAUAUACAAACGCAUAACAAAGAUACAUAAUGUAAUACACAACAAUGGAAACAGAUUACAUAUUGUAAAAUUAGGUAAAAAGAAACUACAUCCUGUAGUCCGUGAACAAUUGAAGAAACUUGAUACAUGUAAACUCUCAAGUGUUGAAGUAAAUAUGAAAAUGUGACAAAAAUACCUCAGAUGCUGCAAAUGCUGAUGAGUGGAAAUUUUCUAAUCCUGUAGAAAUAAAGUAUACGUUGUUAGGGAGGAGGCGGCAAAAAGAAGAUAUAAAAUAUUCUUAGUGAGAUUGCCUAAAUUUCAUAUAUUAGUGGAUCAUUGAAAACAUGUUCAGAAGGUUCAGAAGCUGUUGCGUAGUAAUUUUCUUGCCACUUGAUGAAUGAGUCAUGGUAGCUUGGGAAUGUGCAGAUUUGUGAGAGCAUUGAAAAGGUAGUUCGAGUGACAGAGUAUAUUUUGUGAACCAUUUUGGGAAUAUGCAGAAUUCCUAGAGCAUUGUGUUGGAUCAUGAUAAUUCCCAUUUUAACUACGGCAAUUGUUUGUUGUGUGGAAGGAUCAUGUACUAAAAUAAUGAGAAUCAGUUCACAUUGAAUCGUUGGGAAAAGUAUAGUGAAAGCGCUGGAAUAUCAGGAGCAGAACAUGAUGCACUAAAUGUGACUAAAUGCUCUUGUGUAUGGAACAUAAACUUGAUCAUGUACUGGGCAAUCCCAUUCUUGAUACUACCUCACUGUUCACAAUGCUUUUGUAUCAAGUCUUACUGGUGAAGUUGCUCAAUCCCAUAACAUUGGUCACCUACAUGGGAGUUCUAAUAUCCCUUUGGUUCAAACACAAACACUGGUGAAGUUGCUCAAUCCCAUAACAUUGGUCACCUACAUGGGAGUUCUAAUAUCCCUUUGGUUCAAACACAAACACCGGGAAAUGUGAAACAGAGCUGCAUGUAAGGUGCUAAGAGGGCCAAAAUUUCGAACGCAAAAUGGUAGGUAGUGUGUAGUCUGCAGAUUAGGAAUAGUUGAGCUUCAGUGUACCGGCGGCGAGGAUGGUGGAGCCGGUGGAGAUGUUGACGGUGCCUAUGCCAUCACCGCCGGUACCGACAAUGUCGACGGCGUCGUGCAGGCCCUCGACACGGACGCAGUUUCUCAUCAUGGCCUUAGCCAGCCCGACGAUCUGAAGAACGGCUUGACAAAACUCGAAAUUAGCGGCCGCAGAAAUCUCUCUCCAUUUCUGCUCAUUCAGAAAUCACGAAUCACGGGAGGACGCGCACGCACCUCUUCAUAGGUCUCGCCCUUGGCCCGGAGCAGCACGAGGAAGGCGGCGAUCUGCUGCGCCCCGUUCUUCUCGUUGAGCGGCAGCUGCAGCGUCGCCUCCACCUUGUCCUCCGAGAAGUCGGCCCCGUCGAUCAGCUGCUCCAGCACCUGGCAUCGUCGCGGCCACAAGACAGGAGAUUGAAAGGAAACCCGGUCAGUCAAUCACCGGACGGAACAAAUAGAGGGGAUGCGGGAGGCAUUGCGGCUUGUGCGCACCUGUUCAAAUGUGGCGGUCCCCGGGGAGGCGGCGGGAGCCGGCGCGGCGGCGGGCUACACGGCGACGUGGGCCGGAGGGAGGCACCGGGCGGGGCCGAUGGGCCACGCAGUGCUGGGGCGACGGAGGAGGGGCGAGGGAUUUGGGGGAGCAGAGCUUGAGCGAGGCGGCCGCCAUUAGAUGCAUUCAGGGGACAUGCGUGGGUUUGGUGGGAAGGGAGAUCCCGGUGGUGGCAGAAGAGGGAGGCACCGGCGUCAGGCAUUUUUAUAUGCGGCCGGCGCCAGGCUUGGAUUUUUGUCACUCCAGGGGAGGCCCGACGUCUGCCUUGUGAUCUUGUCCGUCUGCAGCAGCAGAGGAGGACCUCCCGCGUUCUUGGGGCAGCAGAGGAGGACCAGCAGGGGCGCUCGCAUUUGGCCAUCGGGAAGCAGAAGAGGACCACCGGACCAGGGGCGGCAAACGGCGCGGAAGGCGGCGGGAGGAAUCGGCAUGCGACAGCCCACCCGUGUUGUGGCAUCCAUUGGGAGGAGGAGCAUGGUCGAGAGGUCGUGCGGGCGUGGGCGAUAGGUCGUGUGGUGUGGUGUGGGCGUGCGUUGUUGGCAGCGGUUUUUUUUUUCAAACGGCUGGCAGGGUUAGCGAUCGAUGAAUUAGUGGCUUAAGCCAUGGCUUGGAGGGUUAAACAUCAGAGGAUUAGAGGCCAUUAGAUCUUGUUAAUGGAUGGAUGUGAUUAUUUGGAUCUGCCCCUCUCUUCUUUUUAUAAGGGUAGUAGAUGAAUAACAUGAAGGAGAAAAUCAACCAAGUAGAACAGAAAAGAGAUAUAAAAUAUAAGAACAUGAGUAAACCUUAUGUCACUUCAAUACAAAUCAGGGAUGAUUGUGGGCACCCAGCCGGUGAUUAUGUAAAAUUACCUAGAAGAUUCAGCUCUGAUGGUUCCACAAGCAAGUAUAUUGUCUGAAUAUAAUAGUUCUAGGGGCAAACCUAAAAACUUUAUUAGAUGCCCCUGAGGCACUGUAAGGCCUUGCAGUGUUAGCUCGAACAGCCCAACAGUAUGGACAUGUAAAUCAGGUAUCAACAUGAAAACCUGGAACAAGAUUCUAUAUAUUUUUGUAGGUGAAAAAUGAAUUUCGGUUAGUAGUUGCCGCAAGUAUAUAUGUAUUGAAAGAUUCUACAUACAGUAUGAUAUAUCAAUAGUAAAAGUACAUAUUGUAACAUUGUACAAAUAAUUAGAUAUUUGCUCAAGGUAACACAUCGAUUCACAAAACCAAGUCCCCAAAAGUGAGAUCAUUCAUCUGUAUACUUGCACGACAACACAAUAUAGUCAGACAUAUGGAAAACUUAUUUGCAUGUCAAAAUCAUACUAUUAGAAUCCAUUAACCUUUAGAAGUACAUACUUGUUUUAUCUAAUUCAAUCAUCAAAAGCAUAUUGGUUCGGGAAUAGGAGUUAAUCUGAAGCAUGUGUCUUCUUCUUAACAUCUCUUUGGCUAUUCUCUUCUCCUUCCAGUUGAUCUGUUGAGAUCCUUUUUUAGAAGCACAUUCAGUAGAACAAAAAAAAUACUUUGAAGAAGAACCGUAUUUUGAUAAAGAAAAACAGAAAAAAAAUCAGUACAGGUAAGGUUUAGUAGCUCCAAUUUUUUCAAGUUAUUUAUGCAACUCAGAAAGACCACAAAAUAUAACCAGGACUGAACAAUUGCACAAGGAAAAGAGUAGCGAGUGUCGAGUAAGUAAAACUUGGCACAUGAUCUAGGUUACUAACUAAUGAAGAGAUUGAAAGGAAGUAUCGCCACAUGCAUAUAUAAUGAACAAUACAAUUAAGACAUGUCAGAAAGCACAGGUCAGUGAGUUUGAACAUUGUUAUUUUUGUAACUGUAAAAACUAAGAAUAAAGACUGGAAUCAUUUGUAAUGAGUAAGAAGCCAAUCCUGGAAUUUUAGAAGAUGUACACAAAAACAAUUAAAAUCAAAGUUCAAUGCAAAACAUAAAGAUGUCCAUUAAGAGACGUACACCUGUUCCAAGUUCCUUAUGGUCACAUUUACCACACCAUCGAUGUCAAUAAGCUCAUACGCACCUUUGGAAUCAGGCUCCUGGACUAUAAGAGAACAGACAUUUGACACUUCAGUAAAAUGAUGCUUCAUGAAAAGCUACAUGCAUAUGUACCAGUCUGAAUAUGACACCUCCAGAUUGCAGAAGUUUGUGACCUCUUGAGUUACAAAUGUCCAAGCACAAGGAUGAAGAAAAUAUAAAGGGAAAGAAGGAAAAAAAUACACCAAGCUGCAUCUGCGUGACUACUAUAGCAAUUAGCAAUGUCAUCAUGCAUCAGCAAGUCUUCUGAAAACCUCUCCGAUUUCAGUAGGUGAUUACAGCCCGGUUUCAUGAAAUGUUUCCAAAGUGGCAAAGCUAGGAGAUAGCACAUUUGUAGUGAGAAAAUCAUUACUGUAACAAUCUUUUGAAAUGCAUGCUUCAGUUCAGAGUAGUUGUUUAAAGAAACCAAACAACAACCCCAUUAAAAAAUUAAGUAACAGAUUGAUUGCGGGCUUCAGAAUUCUCGGAAGUCAAAAUUGAUAAAACAGAAUUUAGCUCAAAUUACUACUCUAGAACAGAUAUGUGACACAAGAACUCCAUAGGCUGACCCAUGUCUGUGACUCUACGUACACCUCUAUCACACUUUGUGUGAUCCCACAGCUCAUCAACAAAUUAUCAACUAAGUGUGCUUCUGACAUUAUUUAUUUGAGCAUUUAUUGAUUUUGCAUUUAAUCCCUUGUUGGGAGACCCAUCUGCUUCCGACAUUGCAUGCGGGUAUAGUCACUCUAGCUACAGUUAUGAGCUAGAAACCAUCAAUUGACCCAAGUAACAAUCCAAUUCACAGAUCAACUCUGAAAUCCCAAUCCAUUUUAUUAGGCUUUGCAUGCUACACCUCUGAGAAUUUCAGCCAAAAAAAGUUAAAAUAUUAGUCACAAUGUAUGAAUAGUAAGAUACUUGAUAGACUGUCAUCUAUCUGUUUGCCUAGAAACGAACAAACAAACAUCACUCCAGAUCAGAGUAGCAAGCCAAACAUAAUAUAGAUUAUAAGCAGACGGAAAUUAUAUAAAUAAGUUAGAGUGCCUAUAGAUGUAUAGCUCUAGAACACCAGCUAGCAUUAGAGCAAGGUAACUAUCAUGUGGUAAUCAACGCAUACAUGCAACAGUGAUACUGUUUUGGCAGACCUAUGUGUACAACUUGUACCUCAAAGUUGUUCCUACACUACUGUAAGACUCAUCAUUUGUAACUUUGUUGCUGAAGUACCAAUGACGCAAACUCUUUGCUCAAGUCCUCAAAAUUAUUAGUGGUAAAAAUAUAAUAAACAUGUACUUAUACAUAUCAGACAAACAAAUAAAGCACCUGGUCUGUUUUCCUCAUAAAAAAUAUCAUCCAUGC